ACGGGAGGCAGCAGUGAGGAAUAUUGGUCAAUGGAGGCAACUCUGAACUAGCCAUCUCGCGUGAAGGAAUACGGCCCUAUGGGUCUUAAACUUCUUUUAUAGGGGGAUAAAGUGAGCCACGUGUGGCUUUUUGUAGGUACCCUAUGAAUAAGCAUCGGCUAACUCCGUGCCAGCAGCCGCGGUAAUACGGAGGAUGCGAGCGUUAUCCGGAUUUAUUGGGUUUAAAGGGUGCGCAGGCGGCACGUUAAGUCAGCGGUGAAAUGUCGGGGCUCAACCCGGGCACUGCCGUUGAAACUGGCGAGCUUGAGUACGGAUGAAGUCGGCGGAAUGUGAUGUGUAGCGGUGAAAUGCUUAGAUAUGUCACAGAACACCGAUUGCGAAGGCAGCUGACUAAUCCGCAACUGACGCUCAGGCACGAAAGCGUGGGGAUCAAACAGGAUUAGAUACCCUGGUA
rnacentral:rRNA from 1 species